rnacentral:rRNA from 1 species
UGAGGAAUAUUGCACAAUGGACGAAAGUCUGAUGCAGCAACGCCGCGUGAGGGAUGAAGGUGCUUCGCAUUGUAAACCUCUGUAGUCGGAGACAAACGACGGGUUACUACCCGUGUGAUGGUAUCCGAAAAGUAAGGAUCGGCUAACUACGUGCCAGCAGCCGCGGUAAUACGUAGGAUCCAAGCGUUGUCCGGAUUUACUGGGUGUAAAGGGUGCGCAGGCGGACUGGUUAGUCUGGGGUGAAAUCUCAUCGCUCAACGGUGAAACUGCCUUAGAUACUGCCAGUCUUGAAUCAGCGAGAGGUUCGUGGAAUUCCGAGUGUAGCAGUGAAAUGUGUAGAUAUUCGGAAGAACACCAGUGGCGAAGGCAACGAACUGGCGCUCGAUUGACGCUCAGGCACGAAAGCAUGGGGAUCAAACAGGAUUAGAUACCCCCGUAGUCC